AACGAACGCUGGCGGCGUGGAUAAGACAUGCAAGUCGAACGCUGAUUACGGGGUAGCAAUAUUCCGUAGUCGGAGUGGCGCAAGGGUGCGUAACACGUGGGUAAUCUGCCGUGAAGUCUGGAACAACUUGCUGAAAGGCGAGCUAAUGCCGGAUGUGACGAUUGGGAGGCAUCUUCUGAUCUUCAAAGUUGGGGACCGUAAGGCCUGACGCUUCAUGAUGAACCCGCGGCCUAUCAGCUAGUUGGUGAGGUAACGGCUCACCAAGGCUAAGACGGGUAGCUGGUCUGAGAGGACGACCAGCCACACUGGAACUGAGACACGGUCCAGACACCUACGGGAGGCAG
rnacentral:rRNA from 1 species